AUUCAUAUCGAACCUGAAUCUUGACAGCCUUACGCACACCAGGAAAUACCUCUUGCGAAGCACUGCAUGAGGAGCAACAGUGUGGACAAAAGGACACAUCCAGACUGCUUUAGAAUUCUUGCAAAAGGGGUGCAAAAAUAGUGAGAUAACCAGUGAAAAAGUGCCAAAAAGCGGUUGGUGAAGCAAGGAUUGGAGAAUCGAUCAGAAUCCAAGAGAAACUGAAGUGUCAG